AGGGAUAAGAGAGGCUGGAGCAGGCCCAGCGCUGGGCUCAGGGGCAGCGCUCUGGGGGUCUCCACCAUGGCCUGGGCUCUGCUCCUCCUCUCCCUCCUCUCUCAGGGCACAGGGUCCGGGGCCCAGUCUGCCCUCACCCAGCCUCCCUCCGUGUCCGGGACUCUGGGACAGUCGGUCACCAUCUCCUGUGCUGGAACCAGCAGUGACGUUGGGGGUUAUGACCAUGUCUCCUGGUACCAACAGCACCCGGGCACAGCCCCCAAACUCCUGAUUUAUGCUGUGACUACUCGGGCCUCGGGGACCCCUGAUCGCUUCUCUGGCUCCAAGUCUGGCACCACGGCCUCCCUGACCAUCUCAGGGCUCCGCACUGAGGACGAGGCUGACUAUUACUGCAGCUAAUAUAGGAGUGGUAGCA